GAUGAACGCUAGCUGGAGGCUUAAUACAUGCAAGUCGAGCGGGAUUGGGUAGCAAUACCCAUGAGAGCGGCGCACGGGUGAGUAACGCGUACACGACCUACCUCUGACAGGGGGAUAGCCCUGGGAAACUGGGAUUAAUACCGCAUAUUAUUCUGAAUAAUAAAGGUUUGGAAUGAAAGCUGAGGCGGUCAGAGAUGGGUGUGCGUCUGAUUAGCUAGUUGGUAGGGUAACGGCCUACCAAGGCGAUGAUCAGUAGGGGGCGUGAGAGCGUGGUCCCCCACACGGGUACUGAGACACGGACCCGACUCCUACGGGAGGCAGCAGUAAGGAAUAUUGGUCAAUGGGCGAAAGCCUGAACCAGCCAUCCAGCGUGCAGGAAGAAGGCCCUAUGGGUUGUAAACUGCUUUUGGAUGGGAAUAAUAAUGUCGACGUGCUCGGCACUUGAAGGUACCAUCAGAAUAAGCACCGGCUAACUCCGUGCCAGCAGCCGACGG
rnacentral:rRNA from 1 species